ACGGUCGCAUCACGUUGAAACACCGGUUCCCGUACCAUCACUGAAGUUAAGCAUUAUUGAGACUGGUCAAUAUUUAGAUGGGUGACCACUUGGGAAUACCAGGUGCUGUAAG